AUACGUAGGGUGCAAGCGUUAAUCGGAAUUACUGGGCGUAAAGCGUGCGCAGGCGGUUUUGUAAGACAGUGGUGAAAUCCCCGGGCUCCACCUGGGAACUGCCAUUGUGACUGCAAGGCUGGAGUGCGGCCGAGGGGGGUGGAAUUCCGCGUGUAGCAGUGAAAUGCGUAGAUAUGCGGAGGAACACCGAUGGCGAAGGCAAUCCCCUGGGCCUGCACUGACGCUCAUGCACGAAAGCGUGGGGAGCAAACAGGAUUAGAUACCCUGGUAGUCCACGCCCUAAACGAUGUCAACUGGUUGUUGGGGAUUUAUUUUCUCAGUAACGAAGCUAACGCGUGAAGUUGACCGCCUGGGGAGUACGGCCGCAAGGUUGAAACUCAAAUGAAUUGACGGGG
rnacentral:rRNA from 1 species